GGACAGCGUGGCGGCAGUCUGUGACCAGAAGCUUCUGCUGGCACUAAGGGAAGAUGGAGGGCUUCUCGGCCCCGCAUCUCCAUGGCUACAGUGUGCCGAAGUCGGGUCCGAUCCCAAGUUGGAUGUCAACAUUGGCGACUCUCCGGAAGUUGAGUCGUCAAGGUUGUCAACUCCCGAAUGCAAAUUCGGGAGCUAAGGAGGGGGGCACUGCGUGCAGGCCGGAAACGGAACAGCGAAAACCCGCCGCACCCAACAGUGGGCGGAUAGCCUGACUGAA
rnacentral:SRP_RNA from 13 species